UACGGGGGGGGCAAGCGUUGUUCGGAAUUACUGGGCGUAAAGGGCUCGUAGGCGGCCAACUAAGUCAUACGUGAAAUCCCCCGGCUUAACCGGGGAACUGCGUCUGAUACUGGAUGGCUUGAGUUCGGGAGAGGGAUGCGGAAUUCCAGGUGUAGCGGUGAAAUGCGUAGAUAUCUGGAGGAAUACCGGUGGCGAAGGCGGCAUCCUGGACCGGCAUUGACGCUGAGGAGCGAAAGCUAGGGGAGCAAACGGG
rnacentral:rRNA from 1 species